AUUGAACGCUGGCGGCAGGCCUAACACAUGCAAGUCGAGCGGAUGAAGGGAGCUUGCUCCUGGAUUCAGCGGCGGACGGGUGAGUAAUGCCUAGGAAUCUGCCUGGUAGUGGGGGAUAACGUCCGGAAACGGGCGCUAAUACCGCAUACGUCCUGAGGGAGAAAGUGGGGGAUCUUCGGACCUCACGCUAUCAGAUGAGCCUAGGUCGGAUUAGCUAGUUGGUGGGGUAAAGGCCUACCAAGGCGACGAUCCGUAACUGGUCUGAGAGGAUGAUCAGUCACACUGGAACUGAGACACGGUCCAGACUCCUACGGGAGGCAGCAGUGGGGAAUAUUGGACAAUGGGCGAAAGCCUGAUCCAGCCAUGCCGCGUGUGUGAAGAAGGUCUUCGGAUUGUAAAGCACUUUAAGUUGGGAGGAAGGGCAGUAUGUUAAUACCUUGCUGUUUUGACGUUACCUACAGAAUAAGCACCGGCUAACUUCGUG
rnacentral:rRNA from 1 species